rnacentral:rRNA from 1 species
AUGAAGUGGCAAUUCUGGGAGAAGCUGGGGAGGGGGUCAAUUCUCGAAGAAUUGCCCAAAAAACUGGCCAUCUCUCUCCCGAGAAACUUGCCGCCGCCGUCCAACCUGAAUCAGCCGCUCUUCCUCGUGCUCCUGGCCGCUGACGCCCUCAAGCCGUGGCGCAAGUCCCGAAUCCCUCUUCGGCUCCUCAUCGCCAUCCGGCAGCGAAGGGUCUCUCUCUCCCAUCGCAGUCAGUCGCGGCUUCCUCUAGCCCUCCUCACUGGUGACGCCAAGACCGGAUCCACGCCGUGGGAGGUGUCCACCGUCGGCAACCUGAGGAGCCUCGCCACCUCGAGCCUCAACUCGCUCAAGCAUAGCCUCGAUGCGCUCCAUGGCCACUCCGCCCGUGACCUCGAGGCCUCCCACUUCCGAAUCUCCAAGCGCAUCAAGAUGCAGAGCUCCCUGGAGCUGGUGGAGAAGGAGCAUAGGAAGAUGUUCGAGAAGAUCACCGAGCGUACUGAGGAGAUGAAAAAGUUGAUGACAGAGGUGCAGAGCUCCCCGCAGUUGGCGGAGGAGCAUAGGAAGAUGUUCGAGAAGAUCCCCGAGCAUGCCGAGGAGAUGAAGAAGUUGAUGACAGAGGUGCAGAGCUCCCUGCAGCUGGCGGAGAAGGAGCAUAGGAAGAUGUUCGAGAAGAUCGCCGAGCAUGCUGAGGAGAUGAAGGAUACCAAAGUGUUGUGGUUCAUUGGGUCCAUCUCCUCCUUCGCCAUCUACUACGGCACCUGUGUGGUCUCCGAGUCAAUGCUCUCCGCCCAUUCGUGCCAUCUUCGUCGGUUGCUCCUGUCCUGCACAAGGUCAUGCACAACAUGUGCCUUGCCGGAUGCCUUCGAUGCCCACUCUUGA